rnacentral:rRNA from 1 species
AGUGAACGCUGGCGGUAGGCCUAACACAUGCAAGUCGAACGGCAGCACAGUAAGAGCUUGCUCUUACGGGUGGCGAGUGGCGGACGGGUGAGGAAUACAUCGGAAUCUACUUUUUCGUGGGGGAUAACGUAGGGAAACUUACGCUAAUACCGCAUACGACCUACGGGUGAAAGCAGGGGAUCUUCGGACCUUGCGCGAUUGAAUGAGCCGAUGUCGGAUUAGCUAGUUGGCGGGGUAAAGGCCCACCAAGGCGACGAUCCGUAGCUGGUCUGAGAGGAUGAUCAGCCACACUGGAACUGAGACACGGUCCAGACUCCUACGGGAGGCAGCAGUGGGGAAUAUUGGACAAUGGGCGCAAGCCUGAUCCAGCCAUACCGCGUGGGUGAAGAAGGCCUUCGGGUUGUAAAGCCCUUUUGUUGGGAAAGAAAAGCAGCAGGCUAAUACCCCGCUGUUCUGGCGGUACCCAAAGAAUAAGCACCGGCUAACUUCGUG